CAUCAUGGAGAGUUAUGUUGUUAUUUCUGUGCCGUCCAAAAACCAUAACAACAUCUGGUGACCUGACGUUUUCGAAGAAGUUCAGCGCAGCUGGGACUGAUUCAUGCAGCAAAGCUUGAAAAUUGCUACCUGCCUCCUCAGAGAGGUAAACGAAAUAUCUCCACGCUUUUUCUAAAGAAUGCUGGUCCUGCUGACCAUGGAAAAAGAUCAAUCCUGCCAAAAGACAGCAGGUUGGACGGCACCCAGCACAGCUGGACUUCAAUUUCUAGAAAAGACAGUCGGGCAGAGGUUCCAGAAAAACCUGGGGAACCCCUCUCCUGAGAGAGGACAGCUUGUGCCUUUCCUGACAAGAGCAGCUGGAAUUCUUCGCUGCCGACAGCUUGCCCAGCACUCCCCCGACCUUUUUCGGUUCUGUCUGGCCGAGAUCAAAGCGAGCGUCUGUAAGCCUCUCCCGGCCGGCAGAGACGGCGCUUCCUUGGCUUUUCCUUCUCCUUUCUUCAUACCACGGAUGGCUACGCAGCGGUUCCUGCGUUAUCACCCACUGCGACUGGCCUGUACCGUGACUUUAAAAGAUGCCAGCCCGUCCAAGAUACAUCUGGUCAGAUUCCGACCCAGAGUGUGACACAACGAUCCUUUCCUCGUUGGAGUGGCCCAGCAUCUGGCCUGCGGACGGGACCGGGAUCGAAAACCUUUGAUCCCUCUCUUUAAAUAUAAUAGCUGAAUUGAUCUUUGAGGUGAACCUAAAAUUCCUGACCGGGAAGGAUGAACAGGUUGUCACUGGAAAAGAAGCACUUCAGCUUUUGCAGUUCCUGGGCUGAUCUAAAUUAUUAUCAAAAAGAUAAGAUGCAACAAUAUAACAUUUAUGUUAUGAACCUGAAGAAAAAGUAAUUAUGAAACCUGGAUGUUGAAUUUAGACAAUGGAGCCUGACAAGUUUGUUAACUUAAGGAGAAGAUGUGCCUGUGUUUUAUCAUUAGCAGGUUCAGCAGUCGUGUUACCCAUCACCUUUGAGGAGUGAAAAGGGACACUGCAUAGCCUUUCUGGCUGUCACAUAGACUGCAAAGAUGACCAUGUGGUUGGAAGGUAGGGAGACAACAAAGUCCUGUGUCAGCAGCAUGGUUCUGUUUCCGUCGAUCUUCCUCGAGUCACUCCCUGCUCCAGACUUCAAGAAGACAUCCAGUGAUGCUAAGGAUCAACAUCUUGUCUCAAUGGACGUUUUCUUUUCAUGUGUUAUAAUUUUAUAGUAGAUGUUGUUUUAUUUAAGUUUUCCUACAUAGAUGUAGUUGUAUUUUAGGUAAUAUUUCACGUGCCUUCGGUGUAUGUUUUAUAAUUAUUAAGGGCUGUUAUUUCACUUUGUGGUUUUUGCCUUUCUGGUCAUUGGGAUCACAUAGAUAUUUUUGGAGUCAGAUAUCUUUUUAUUGAUAUUUUUAUUAAUUUUAUUAUUCUUAUUCUUUCUUUCUAGGUGACAUCCUACAGGUAUCAUGGGCCAAUUGAGUGAACAAUGGUCCAAUCCUGCACAUCCUGCAAUGGGUCUUUGCCCUUUCAAACAUUGCAUGCAUUUUUGUAUUAAAAAAAAAAAAAGGUCAACUCAGGUUGUCCAAAUAAUUGGAAAAUUAAAUCAGUUUGCCGUUGCAGGUGUAAUGCAAGGACCACCAUCCUUUGCUAAAAGGCAGGAAAAGCCCUUGUUAUCUGAAAGGAUGAUUCCUAGAGUGAUGGAUCUUGACAAAUUAGACUGCCAUUUUUGAGCAGGCUAAUGAUGUUUUGGUUUUUUCUGUAUUAGAAUUAGUAAAUAGCUAAGCUUGACACUGGUGCAUGGACAUGGUUGUGAAGGGUCAACACCAAAUGCCACAGAACUUCCCUGACUAUUUAAGUCAGUGCCCAAUGGAAGUUCUAUUUAGUAAUUGGUUGAUUACUAAUGGGACUUCUGGUGUCAUGUUUGUCUUUUUUUCUCUUGCAAGGGCCCUGCAGGAGAGGACACAGACACAGACGCUGCCCUCAGCAAAAACUAAAAGGGGGAGAUGUGGGCCUGACAUUGGUCUGAAUUUCGGCUUCAGGCUCUGCUAGUGUCUGUGUGAAAGGCAAGUGAGCAACUUUCUCAUGUUAGCCUGAGAAAUCUAAAGGAGGAAUUCAAACAAACCUUGGGAAGUGAGAAACUAUCUGCAGGUGGUGUUUUCCCAACAUGUUUACUGGAAAGAAAUGUUUACAAAAGGGUGUAGACGCUGAAUAACCAAUCAUGUUCUUUGUACCGAACUACUCUAUAAAAGUAGAAUUUAGAAGAAUAAAGUUUGCUCUCAUCUUUACCAUCA